AACAUUCUCUCACAGGAUCAGUUGAAGCUGAAGAGGGAGUACGCCGAGGUGAAGUCAGUGUCACCGGUCAAGGCUUGUGAAUACGCAAACCUGCCGGCCAAUAGACCCAAAAACCGCUACAUCAACAUCCUACCAUUUGACGAGACCAGAGUGAUCAUGAGGGAGUACCGCAGUGUCCCCUGCAGCGACUACAUCAACGCCUCCUACAUUCACGGUUACGCCAAGCCAAAGGAGUUCAUAGCUUGCCAGGGUCCCACUGAAGAUUGUAUCCAGGACUUCUGGCGCAUGGUGUGGGAGAAGAAUGUGCAUGUGAUAGUUAUGGUUACCCAGUGUAUCGAGAAGAACACAAGAAAAUGCAGCA